UACGGAGGGUGCAAGCGUUAUCCGGAUUCACUGGGUUUAAAGGGUGCGUAGGUGGGUUGAUAAGUCAGUGGUGAAAUCCCCGAGCUUAACUCGGAAACUGCCAUUGAUACUAUUGGUCUUGAAUUCGGUCGAGGUUGGCGGAAUGUGUCGUGUAGCGGUGAAAUGCUUAGAUAUGACACAGAACACCGAUUGCGAAGGCAGCUAGCUAGACCGACAUUGACGCUGAGGCACGAAAGCGUGGGGAUCAAACAGG
rnacentral:rRNA from 1 species